UUUCAGAAGCUCAUCUUAGCAUAUAGAUGGCUUUCCAUCAAUGCAAAUAUCAAUUUUACUCAUACUAGAGAAUUGUUUUUCGUCUUUUUUCAAUAAAUAGGACUGUUAAUUUAAUCUUUGUAUGGUGUAAACAAAAAUAAUAGAUAAUGGUG